UUAAAUCUCUUCUAAGAGUCACAGAAGCAGUUGUUUUGGCAACCUGAUUUGCAUACUACACUUCAAAAUAAAACUAUAACCAUGUUGGAUACAUAAGCAUAGUUGGGUCACCAAAAAUAUCGUAAAUGAUUAUUGGCAUUUGUGUAGCUCCUGAGAACAGAAUUAUCUCCAGUAGAAACGUGUGAGAGACAUUUCUAUCCCAAAGAAUCCAUUUAAAAGAACUCACUUAUUUAAAAAAAAGAAAGAAGAAGAAAACAGUGGGUGCCAGGGGCUGGGGCGAGGGGAGAAUGAGGAGGGUUUUUUCAUGAGUACAGUUUCAGUUUGGGAAGAUGAAAAAUUCCACCUUCCUGGGGAUGGAUGGUGAGGAUGGUUGCACAGUGG
rnacentral:lncRNA from 1 species